CUUGUCAGCUCGGGGAUUCGACCUAGCAAACUUUUCGGUUACUGGCCCAACGCUGUAACCACUAGGCUACCUGCCGCUCCAUACCGCCCUAAUAGAGGCUACCUGCCGCCCAUAAUAGAGGUGCAUAUUGACUCAGGUGGCACAUACACAUUGGUUCUGCUUACACAUAUACUAAUGGUUAAGUCCAUAUCGAUUGCUUACUACUUCUAAGAAAACAGUAUAGGAACUGGAAAAUCCAACACCAGCACUCCUAUCAGGUAGCUAGUAUUGUGAAUUGUUCAGUACAUAUGUGGCAAUUAUUUAUUUCAGAAGGAGCCAGCAAAACUAGUGCAUCUAUGUGCUCUCUGUCUUUGGACACCAUUAGACAAGCACAUGGUUAUUCUUGUAACUGUUAUGGCCAACUAUGGUUACACCUCUUGGGUUUUUCCCAGAACAGGGGUUCCCCUUUCAGUAGAGUCAGCAGGAUGUCAUGUAUUGGUUAAUCCUAUAGAGUGCCAAUGUAACGGAUGUGAAACGGCUAGCUGAGUUAGCGGUGCACGCUAAAUAGCGUUUCAAUCAGUGACGUCACUUGCUCUGAGAACGUGAAGUAGUAGUUCCUCUUGCUCUGCAGGGGCCGCGGCUUUUGUGGAGCGAUGGGUAACGAUGCUUCGUGGGUGACUGUUGUUGAUGUGUGCAGAGGGGCCCGGGUAUGGGCGAGGGGACCGUCUAAAGUUAUACUGCUACACCAAGGGACAAAGUGAGGUGAAAAGUUCAUUCUAACUUACAACACACUCCCAGGGUUUUAUGGCAGACUACACCAAUUGGAGUAUUACCGCCACCUACUGUACGGCGAGUGAACGAAGAAGAAAAAUAUCUAUCCAAAUUAUUUAUAUCGUAGGUAAAGUAUUCAUGCAGUACAUCUCUCCAUAAUUGUGUAAAAUCUUCAUGAAUAUGUUCCAUUAUAAAUCUACUGAUGUCUUGCCACAGAUUCUUUACUUGAAUACCAUAAAAAAAAGAUGCAACACGGUUUCUGGGUGGUAAUUUCAAACGGUACAAUUUGAAUGUGUUUCUUUUUAAAAACUUCUUCAUAUGGUGGUUGGCAGGAUAAUAUAAAUUGAUAAUUUUAUAAUAAACAUCCUUAAUUGUGUUAGUCAGUACGUUUGUGUGAGACAACAAAUAUAAUGAAUAAAACAAUUCCAAUAAGGCAUGACAUAAGGUAUAUAGAGAGAUACAAAAUCCUGUUGAUACAAGGAAAGUAUCACUCUGUUGUUGAAUGGACCAAAACAAGAACAAAUCUUUACUACUAUUGAGUCAACAGCUGUAAUUGAAGGAAGGUUCUGAGGGUCUUCACAUGUUCCUGAAUAAUAAAGCAACACCUGAGGGAAUGGAGACUAAAAUAAUUAUAAACUCUUUAGACGAAAUAGGGAUCUUGUCAAGUGAUAAGGAUAGGAUAUUAUUUCUGAACCAAUAUUCUAAAAACAAAGAUUUAUUGUUACACAAUAUGUGCUGAUUAUUCCAGAUAUAAUAUACUGUGGAGAGAAAUUAUACUUCUAAAUGAAGGAUCAUGACUAGAAAACCUGCUGAUGAAAAGCAGAGUUUCACUGGAACUUUGUCAAUAGCAAACCAACAUGAAGGUAAGGCCACCAAAAGGAGAAAAUGCAUGAUGGGGAAUAAGGUUUCACAUAGAAGUAGGUCUUCUUAGGAAGUGUUUUAUCAAAUUGAUCUUAAAAGUAUUAUUUAAGGUAGGAAUGUCCAGACAAUUCAGCCCACCAUACUCAUGUGUUCAAUGCAACAGUUUCCUAAUGUGACGGGUUCGGUUUCUCCACAGAAAGUUAAAAAGCAUCUGGUCUGUUGAAAGGGUUCUACAUGGAACCCUAAAGAGUUCUACCUGGAACCAAAGAGGUUCUAACUGAAACACAAAAGGGUUCUUCAAAGGGUUCUCCUAUGGGGACAGCCGAAGAACCCUUUCAGGUUCUAGAUAGUACCUUUUUUUCUUAGAGUGUAGUACUGCUACACCCACUCCUCUACAACACUUCCACCGACCAAAUAAAUGAUGUCAUGGAGCAUCACCAUGGCGAUGAUGAUUUGUGAGACGUCAUUGGGUCGACAAUCCACAAUAGCGACUUAAUGACAUUUGGAGUCCCUGACAUAAUUUGUUUGGCUUCUAACUGUUAGAGAGGAUGGCUGCAUCUGGAAUGUCACCUGACAGUAUAUAGGUAAUAGGAUGCCAUUUCAGACACAGACUAUGUGUAGGUCUGUUCUAGUCUGGUGGAUGGAUGGUGUAAUAGAUUGGUCCUGAAGGUCUGUUCUAGUCUGAUGGAUGGAUGGUGUAAUAGAUUGGUCCUGAAGGUCUGUUCUAGUCUGGUGGAUGGAUGGUGUAAUAGAUUGGUCCUGAAGGUCUGUUCUAGUCUGGUGGAUGGAUGGUGUAAUAGAUUGGUCCUGAAGGUCUGUUCUAGUCUGGUGGAUGGAUGGUGUAAUAGAUUGGUCCUGAAGGUCUGUUCUAGUCUGAUGGAUGGAUGGUGUAAUAGAUUGGUCCUGAAGGUCUGUUCUAGUCUGAUGGAUGGAUGGUGUAAUAGAUUGGUCCUGAAGGUCUGUUCUAGUCUGAUGGAUGGAUGGUGUAAUAGAUUGGUCCUGAAGGUCUGUUCUAGUCUGAUGGAUGGAUGGUGUAAUAGAUUGGUCCUGAAGGUCUGUUCUAGUCUGAUGGAUGGAUGGUGUAAUAGAUUGGUCCUGAAGGUCUGUUCUAGUCUGAUGGAUGGAUGGUGUAAUAGAUUGGUCCUGAGUGGCGUAGCGUUCUAAGGUUCAGCAUCUCAGUGCAAGAGUCAUCACUGAUGGAAGACAAGACUAAAUGAAAAGUGGAUCGGCGAUGGCUAGAAGGUCGGUGACGUGGAACGCCAAACGCCGCCCGAACAAGAGGGGACCAACGUCGGUGGAAGUUGUGACACACGUUUGCUUUCUGGUGUUUUAUCAUUGACUCUUUCCACUGUGGUGGUCAUUUUAAUAAUAUCGUGUUAUAUUAUUCUACUAUACUGUUAAAUUAGACAUACUAUACUGUUUUUACUGAGAGAAUUGUCUAUUGUUAUAUGUUACUAUAUUACUGAGGGAAUUGUCUAUUGUUAUAUGCUAAUAUUCUUUGCUGAUACAGGCUUGUCUUGUGUGACUUAGUCAUAACUCUGAGCGUACAGAUGUAUGAGCUGUUUGGGUGCUACCACAGUAUGUGACCUCCGCUGUUUACAAUCAGCAGGAAUGUAGCUAUGUGGGAAGUGCAGGGAGGAACAGUGAGUGGUGGCGAUAUCAGCCAUCAUGAUCUACACAGACGAGCUAAAUUACUUCGUACAAAUCUGUUUCCAGUGCCUGUUUCUGAACAUCUGCUAGCUGUCAAAGAUUUUAAAAAAGGAUGUACUUUCAAUAAAAGGCAAAAGACAGCUCUGUUCAUUGAGCUUUCAACACGGACUAUUCUUAGUGAUGGUUGAUUGCUUCAUUUUUGCAUAUCUUACAAUAAAUAUAUUGUUUGAAAAGUCUCUCUUCCUAUAGCAUUUCUCUGACACCACAAAGACAGGAGUAAGGAUUCUCUCCAGCGUGUGCGAGCAGGAAUUGAGUUUAAUAAGAAGAACAUUGUUAGAUACAGUCGUAAAUAUUGAUACUUUUAAGAGAACGGGGCUGGGAGAUAGGAUUUAGUUGCUGGCCCACCCUCCAGUACAGUAGGUGGUGUAAUGUACCAUAAAGUUGAUAGGAUUUAGUUGCUGGCCCACCCUCCAGUACAGUAGGUGGUGUAAUGUACCAUAAAGUUGAUAGGAUUUAGUUGCUGGCCCACCCUCCAGUACAGUAGGUGGUGUAAUGUACCAUAAAGUUGAUAGGAUUUAGUUGCUGGCCCACCCUCCAGUACAGUAGGUGGUGUAAUGUACCAUAAAGUUGAUAGGAUUUAGUUGCUGGCCCACCCUCCAGUACAGUAGGUGGUGUAAUGUACCAUAAAGUUGAUAGGAUUUAGUUGCUGGCCCACACUCCAGUACAGUAGGUGGUGUAAUGUACCAUAAAGUUGAUAGGAUUUAGUUGCUGGCCCACACUCCAGUACAGUAGGUGGUGUAAUGUACCAUAAAGUUGAUAGGAUUUAGUUGCUGGCCCACACUCCAGUACAGUAGGUGGUGUAAUGUACCAUAAAGUUGAUAGGAUUUAGUUGCUGGCCCACACUCCAGUACAGUAGGUGAGGUAAUGUACCAUGAAGUUGGAUGCCAACCACUGAUAAACCCCAAUGAAGAAUAUGUAUUUUCAUUGUCAGAGUGAGUAUCUGGUCAUAUAAUGGAUAAUCUGACUUUCAAAUCAGUGGAGGUGAACAAGUGCACAUUUUGGGAGGAAGUAGAGAUAUAUUAGAUAAUAUGACAGAUUUCCAAACAUGAUAUAGCUGUAGAUUAACGUUACUUUGCUGAGGGAAAAAAUAUCCUAACAAGUUUUACAAUCAUGUUUAUUUUUGUCCAGCAGUUUAAACCGAACACAGGAAUGUGGAGGAUAAAAGGUGAUGAAAACUAGUCCUAGACAUUUUAUACAACACAGCGGGCAUAUGUUAAAACCAGAUUUACCUGAUCCAUUGCGGAAGCCAUUGUUUCUUUGUAUGGCAUGAAAUGUUGUAGGGUACAGUUUGACAACUUUGUUGUAGUGUUCGGAUAAUGACAGCUAGUAAUGAGUUGCCGAGAGAAAAUUCGAUUCUCAAGACUGCAACUGAUGCGCCCCUAGACCAGAGCAAUCAAACAUCUAUUUAAAUAUCCAAACGUAAGUUAGAACAAAUAAACGUCUCAUGUAACCUAGUGUUACCACAGAAAGUUCCUGGAUAACAUUUUCCGUGAUCAAUAAAAGUCGAGUAAAGUCAAGAAAAUGUCCAACAACACCCCUUUCACUAAGAAUCCUGUUGUCUGCUAUCGUCUACUUUUACCUGGCAGCCACUUGGAACAGAUGCACAAAGAGGGAGGAUCUCAACAGGCCUCUCUCUCGUGAGGGAGUGUCUGGGAAUUAAAUGUUCCGGUCUUUCGCUGCUGAUACAAUGGCAGCUGCUGUUCACUACCAGCACAGAUAGGAAAUAUCAGAUAUUUAUGCAAGUCUUUGAAAUGGGUGCAUCAAACCUAAUUCACAAGUAAUUCUCCGGUCAAAAAUAAACGUAAGUCCAGUGGUGGAAAAAGUACCCAAUAGUCAUACUUGAGUCAAAGUAAAGAUACCAUAAUAGAAAAUGACUCAAGUAAAAGUCACACAGUUAAAUCUACUUGAGUAAAAGUAUUUGGUUUUAAAUAUACUUAAGUAUCAAAGGUAAAUGUAAUUGUUCAAGUAUAAGUAUGAAUAAUUAAAAUGUCUUUAUACAAAGCAAACCGGAAGGCACAAAUGUAUUGUUUUUUAAAUUAUUUACGGAUAGGCAGGGGCACACUCCAACACUCAGACAUAAUUUACAAAAAAGUAUUUGUAUUUAGUGAGUCCGCUAGAUCAGAGGCAGUAGGGAGGACCAGGGAUGUUCUCUUGAUAAGUGUGAAUUGAACCAUUUUCCGGUCCUGCUAAGCAUUCAAAAUGUAGCGAGUACAUUUAAGGAGUAAAAAGUACAUCAUUUUCUACAGGAAUGUAGAAAAGUAAAAGUUUUCAAAUAUAUAAAUAGUAAAGUACAGAUACCCCCAAAAACGAAUUAUGUAGUACUUUAAAAUAUUGUUUAUUUAAGUACUUCACACCACUGUGUAAGUCUUUCUUCUUAACUAAACUACAGUCAAAUAUACUAUAUUUAUAACUAACACCCUUCUGUCUAUGUAUAUAACUUGUAUACAAUAAAUAAACAAAAGCAAAGCACAGCACAGCAGGCCUAUACUGUUAAAAGUA